GAUGAACGCUGGCGGCGUGCCUAAUACAUGCAAGUCGAACGGAGAAUGUAGCAAUACGUUCUUAGUGGCGAACGGGUGAGUAACGCGUUGGUGACCUGCCCCAAAGUGUGGGAUAACAGUUCGAAAGGACUGAUAAUACCGCAUGUGGUCAUCGGGUUUAGAAACCGGUGAUUAAAGGAGAAAUCCGCUAUGGGAGGGACCUGCGUCCCAUCAGCUAGUUGGUAGGGUAGUGGCCUACCAAGGCGAUGACGGGUAGGGGACCUGAGAGGGUGGCCCCCCACAAUGGAACUGAAACACGGUCCAUACACCUACGGGUGGCAGCAGUAGGGAAUAUUGGGUAAUGGGCGAAAGCCUGACCCAGCAACGCCGCGUGUGCGAUGAAGGCCUUCGGGUCGUAAAGCACUUUUGAUAGGGACGAGGAAGGACGGUACCUAUCGAAUAAGCCUCGGCUAACUACGUG
rnacentral:rRNA from 1 species